AAUUUAAGCAUAUAACUAAGCGGAGGAAAAGAAACUAACAAGGAUUUCCCCAGUAACGGCGAGUGAAGCGGGAAAAGCCCAGCACCGAAUCCCCCAGUGUCAUGCUGGCGGGACCUGUGGUGUGUGGGACGCCACCAGUCGCACAUGUCGUCACCGAAGUCCUCCUGAUUGAGGCUUCACCCAGAGCGGGUGUAAGGCCUUUGCUGGUGAUCGGCUGUGCGGCCGCGAGCGUCUCAGGAGUCGGGUUGUUUGGGAAUGCAGCCC
rnacentral:rRNA from 1 species